AGUAGAUGCUCUUCUAGACACAGAAGCCGUUGAUGCAACUGGUGGUCCUUGGACUUCUCUUUGUGUCCAGAGAGAAAAUGGGUCGCCUGACAAAUGUGUGACUCAAGGGGAAAUAACCUGUAGAAGAUCCAAGUUGUAGCAGACAAAGUCAGGGUUCUGAUGAGAACUGAGGUGUUGAUGGCA